AUGAUCUUCUCGGUGAUCUCUGCAGCGUGGUCGGUGGGAGGAGAUGUGGCCCAGCCGUUGAACCAGGCUCUAUCGGUGUCAGGACGCGUUGGUGGAGGAGGAGGGCUGAUGGAGGAGAGCCGACGGAGCCAUGUUGGACGACAGCCGACGGAGCCAUGGUGGACGACAGCCGACGGAGCCAUGGUGGACGAGAGCCGACGGAGAAGCCGUGGUGGACGAGAGCCGACGGCGCCAUGGUGGACGAGAGCCGACGGAGGAGCCAUGGUGGACGAGAGCCGACGGCGCCAUGGUGGACGAGAGCCGACGGAGGAGCCGUGGUGGAGGUCCUGCCUUAAGAAUGAUCUCGGGACCCGAUGGCCUUGGCUGAUGGAGGAACUGCAUCUGGAGGACGACCAUGAAUCUACCUGCCAACAGGUGGUACUGGUUUGCACUGGUUUGCAUGAACUGAACCUGGUGGACAUGAGGCAAAUUCCCUGCUUUUUGCUCCAGACCAGGACUCUGUGAUGGAGGGGUGGUGUUGGAGCCGUGCUGAGGACCCGCUGGUGAAGGACGUCCCUCGUGGGGGGGGCAAGGACAGCCGACCCUGAGGUGAUUAUACCUGACACUGCCACCUCAAUGUGAAGGAGUAGGCUGCUAGACUAGCCACUCCACCAGCCCUACAUCGGUCUAUUCAACCAUCGUUUUGAUCAGAAUGAUUUUGAGAAAAAAGUCCCUGGGUUAAUGGAGCUGUGAGUGAACAGGAUUUAUUCACUCACAAUUUUGCUCUCCAUGUGUGGCUGCAGCGUCUGAUUUCUCACAUGUAUUCCCUCAGUAUUUACUCAUCUUUUAUAACAUUAUGGUCUUCUCAGUGAUCUCUGCAGCGUGGUCGGUGGGAGGAGAUGUGGCCCAGCCGUUGAACCAGGCUCUAUCGGUGUAAGUGGCUUUCGAUCAAUGUUGAUUUUUGUGUUAAAAGGAUGUAUAUUGGACGUUAAUGUGCUUGAUUAUGAUGGUUCAGUACCUUGAUUUAGUGUUUGGGAGUCCGCUUCCUGAAGACGUCCAACCUGUGUCUAGUUUAUUGCUUCUCCUUCUGAAAAAUGUACGCAUCGCUUUGGUUAAAAGCAUCUGCUAAAUGCCCUCAAUGUAAAUGUAGUUGAUUAAUAAAGCUAAUUUACAGCAGUUUAGAAAUGGCACGUCGUCUCCCAAGGUUUGGUUAAAUAUUGUACAACACAGCUGGGUGGACCUGAGGCUGGGGACCAGAGGGUAACCCCACUACCUGGACCAGUAAUGGGGCAGCAGGGUGGACCAGGGUACCAUCUCCAAGCCGCUCUGAAACUAUUUGUUGAGGCUGAUUAUUUUUCAUUAUCUUUCUCCGAUUUUCAUUCUGACAGUAGUAGUUUAUAAAUUUCUCAAC
rnacentral:lncRNA from 1 species